rnacentral:rRNA from 1 species
GACGAACGCUGGCGGCGUGCUUAACACAUGCAAGUCGGACGGAAAGGCCCUGCUUUUGUGGGGUGCUCGAGUGGCGAACGGGUGAGUAACACGUGAGUAACCUGCCCUUGACUUUGGGAUAACUUCAGGAAACUGGGGCUAAUACCGGAUAGGAGCUCCUGCUGCAUGGUGGGGGUUGGAAAGUUUCGGCGGUUGGGGAUGGACUCGCGGCUUAUCAGCUUGUUGGUGGGGUAGUGGCUUACCAAGGCUUUGACGGGUAGCCGGCCUGAGAGGGUGACCGGCGACAUUGGGACUGAGAUACGGACCAGACUCCUACGGGAGGCAGAAGUGGGGAAUAUUGCACAAUGGGAGGAAGCCUGAUGCAGCAACGCCGCGUGCGGGAUGACGGCCUUCGGGUUGAAAACCGCUUUCGCCUGUGACGAAGCGUGAGUGACGGUAAUGGGUAAAGAAGCACCGGCUAACUACGUG